GAUGAACGCUGGCGGCGUGCCUAAUACAUGCAAGUCGAGCGAACAGAUAAGGAGCUUGCCCCUUUGACGUUAGCGGCGGACGGGUGAGUAAAACGUGGGUAACCUACCUUUAAGACUGGCAUAACUCCGGGAAACCGGGGCUAAUGCCGGAUAACAUUUAGAACCGCAUGGUUCUACAGUGCAAGAUGGUUCUGCUAUCACUUAUAGAUGGACCCGCGCCGUAUUAGCUAGUUGGUAAGGUAACGGCUUACCAAGGCAACGAUACGUAGCCGACCUGAGAGGGUGAUCGGCCACACUGGAACUGAGACACGGUCCAGACUCCUACGGGAGGCAGCAGUAGGGAAUCUUCCGCAAUGGGCGAAAGCCUGACGGAGCAACGCCGCGUGAGUGAUGAAGGUCUUCGGAUCGGAAAGCUCUGUAAGUAGGGAGGAACAAAAGUGAAAGUAUCUGUGCACGUCUUGACGUUACCUAAUGAGAAAGCCACGGCUAACUACGUG
rnacentral:rRNA from 1 species